AGAGUCCCACAUUCCUCAGUAAUGAAUUAAUGAUACUGAUUUUGUUCAAUUGAUGUUUACAGGCCUUGAGAAGUGAAGAUCAAGUUCUUCCCUUGUGUGAGACUCCAUGCACAUACAGGAGGGGAAAGUUCUGAUUCUACAGAUGACAGUAUACAAGGGGUAAAAGGGCCCACUGUACCAUGAGAUCAACAAGAUUAGAUAUCUUUGUAACCUGCUUACCAGCAGAAUGUGAUAUUGAGGCUGAGACAAGAAGCUAAGAGCAACUGACCUGCAAGAUUAAGUGCUGUGGCUCUGUAACCCUCUGCUGGACUAAACCUGAAGUUUGCUGAGCUGCACCUCACUGCAUGGUAUUGUGUGUGGACAUCUUCAGAAGGCAAAGAACAGAGCAAGCCAUUGCUUCUACUGACAGCGCUGAAAAGGGCAUCUUCAAGGAAGAAUUCUCGUGGGCACCUGGGAUGAAGGUGAUGAAUGUGCUGUACCGGGAUGAUAGCAUUCUUCCCCUGCCCAGUUGA
rnacentral:lncRNA from 1 species